GAAGUAGCGGGUAGCGGGGGAAGUAGUGGUUGGGUAGAUUAUCACAAACGUUAAAAAAAGUAGAGUUCAACCCAUAAAAGUAGUGGUGUAGGUUUUACCUAUUCUCAUCUCUGCUCCCACGUAAUACUCAGUCAAACAAAAAAAAAUAUCAUCCUCCCACGUCCAUGCUUCUCUUCAUCUCCUUCAUCCUUGGUCUCUAAUCAUCUCUCCAAGCAGGCUAAUAUCAUCGGUUUCAGAUUGUACCCGGGGUCUUCAAUGGCGUAUUGCAUGGGCAACGUAUUUUCUUCCCCGGUCAAUUAUCAUCAAUCCUUAUUUAAGAGCAUGGUGCGCUAAAUGGAGAAGAAAUGUUAAUCUAGCAAUAAGACGGUGGAGGCUCUUAUUUGUUUUGGGUCGUUUUGUAAUUCCUAGCUAGUAAUAUUGAAUUUGUUUCUAUGGAUUUUAAUUUUAUGUACUUUUGUCAUUAAAAACACUAAAUUAAUUAGUGAACAACUAUUUUGUAAUGUAGGCAUCCUAUGGGUACUAAUAUUGUAAUAUUACUUUUCAAGUCAAUGAAAAUCUUUUGCUAUUAUUAUUAUUAUUAUUAUUAUUAUUAUUAUUAUUAUUAUUA